rnacentral:rRNA from 1 species
AUUGAACGCUGGCGGCAGGCCUAACACAUGCAAGUCGAACGAGUGGCGGACGGGUGAGUAAUGUCUGGGAAACUGCCUGAUGGAGGGGGAUAACUACUGGAAACGGUAGCUAAUACCGCAUACUAUCAGAUGGGCCCAGAUGCGCUUCGCUAGUUGGUGGGGUAGCGGCUCACCAAGGCCACGAUCCCUAGCUGGGCUGAGAGGAUGACCAGCCACACGGGAACUGAGACACGGUCCGGACUCCUACGGGAGGCAGCAGUGGGGAAUAUGGCACAAUGGGAGCAAGCCUGAUGCAGCCAUGCCGCGUGUAUGAAGAAGGCCUUCGGGUUGUAAAGUACUUUCAGCGGGGAGGCGUUACCCGCAGAAGAAGCACCGGCUAACUCCGUGCCAGCAGCCGCGGUAAUAC